UAGAUUUGUGUAUAUCAAUUGAGGAAUUGGUGAAACCCCUACAUAAAAUCAUUUUUCAAAAACCUUUUAUUGUUAGCUUGUUCAAUUUACUGCAUCUCUAAAAAGAAAAUUCGAUUUGAUCUAUUUAUGAUGUUUCCAAAAUUGUUCCAGCGAUUGUAUGAUAUUGUAGACAUCUUGAAAAUAAAUUCAAAAGUUUGUUUGAGUUAAAAGCAAUUCUGAGAUGGAAGAUAUAAAUGAGUCUUCAUUUGUGCAUUUA
rnacentral:lncRNA from 1 species